AGUGGCGAACGGGUGAGUAACACGUGGGGCAACCUGCCCAAAAGAGGGGGAUAACACUUGGAAACAGGUGCUAAUACCGCAUAACCAUAGUUACCGCAUGGUAACUAUGUAAAAGGUGGCUAUGCUACCGCUUUUGGAUGGGCCCGCGGCGCAUUAGCUAGUUGGUGGGGUAAAGGCUUACCAAGGCAAUGAUGCGUAGCCGAACUGAGAGGUUGAUCGGCCACAUUGGGACUGAGACACGGCCCAAACUCCUACGGGAGGCAGCAG
rnacentral:rRNA from 1 species